rnacentral:rRNA from 1 species
CAGCGGCCCUAGUGGUGAUCGUUAUUAUUGGGCCUAAAGCGUCCGUAGCCGGUUCGGUAAAUCUCUGGGUAAAUCGUUGGGCUUAACUCAACGAAUUCUGGGGAGACUGCCGAACUUGGGACCGGGGGAGGUCGGAGGUACUCCAGGGGUAGGGGUGAAAUCCUGUAAUCCUUGGGGGACCACCGGUGGCGAAAGCGUCCGACCAGAACGGGUCCGACGGUAAGGGACGAAGCCCUGGGGCGCGAACCGGAUUAGAUACCCGAGUAGUCC